GUGAGGAAUAUUGGACAAUGGGCGCAAGCCUGAUCCAGCCAUGCCGCGUGCAGGAAGACGCAUCUAUGGUGUGUAAACUGCUUUUGUACGGGAAGAAACACUCCCUCGUGAGGGAGCUUGACAGUACCGUAAGAAUAAGGAUCGGCUAACUCCGUGCCAGCAGCCGCGGUAAUACGGAGGAUCCAAGCGUUAUCCGGAAUCAUUGGGUUUAAAGGGUCCGUAGGCGGUUUAAUAAGUCAGUGGUGAAAGCCCAUCGCUCAACGAUGGAACGGCCAUUGAUACUGUUAGACUUGAAUUACAAGGAAGUAACUAGAAUAUGUAGUGUAGCGGUGAAAUGCUUAGAUAUUACAUGGAAUACCAAUUGCGAAGGCAGGUUACUACUUGUGGAUUGACGCUGAUGGACGAAAGCGUGGGGAGCGAACAGGAUUAGAAACCGAGUAGUCC
rnacentral:rRNA from 1 species